GUGCUUUCCGCCGCUGCUUCGCCUCUUCAUCCUCUGCAUCUAAAGGUGGAGCACGUGCUGAUGAACAAGGACAACGAGCCAGGGUGUUUGACGAAAAUCCUUGAGGGAAACAUUAUAGGUGUUCGACAAUGAGGAACAGGAUGGGAUGGGGAAGAAGGGAUGUGCCCGCAGCGAUGAGGAUUUGGAGGAUGCGAAGAUGGCUUCUUCUUCAUCCGGGACUUGCAGGUUUCUCCUCUCUCUCUCUCUCUCUCUCUCUCUCUCUCUCUCUCUCUCACUGGAUCACCUCCUUCCCGAUGAACUAAUUUGAUGCAGAUGUUUGUAUCAUAGGUCGGAGAUGUGUGUGAAGGUGUUGAUUUUGCAGAUAUUUGGUUGUAGCUUUGUCUUGUGAUUACCCGUUUGCACUUGGGCAGAAGUAUGAGGAAUUAUGUCAGUGGUUUGCUUGCUAACAGACUGGAAGACCGAGGCUGAUGUGAGCUGGCAAUGGUGGAGGUUCAAGAGGAGCGCGACGUCGUAUCCUCUGCUGUCACCAUCGCCAUACUUCUCAGGUACAUGGAUGUGAGUGCAUUCAAACAGUAUUGAGGUUCCUCUCUUGCUGCUACUCCACCUUGAGGAGCGCCGUCUUGGUAACCGGACGGUCAUCCUCAUGUCGACAUGGUUGCGUGUAUAUUUGGUUACCUUUUUCUCAGCAGCUUAGUAAAUGAGAGAAACGGAGGUCUACACAGCGGCAAGGCCGAGUUGAAACUUCUGUAAGAUUUCUAUUGUGUGUGCUUGCUUUCCUGACAUUAGUUCAUAUUGUGUGUGCUUGGUUUGACCUCAGCAAUGGUGCUAAAAUUAAAUACAGCAGAAGUUCAUAAUUAUUGACAUAACAAUGGGUCAAUCUUCGAUGUCAUUGAUCUCAUUUUCCUCAAAUUUAUGCACACUGAAGAUGGAGUUGUUUUGCUCUGUACAUGUGAUCCGGAUAUUGCAGAAAGAUUUUUCACACAACGAGGACGUUUCUUUAGAUGUUCAAUAAUGUAUGCUUAUGUUCAAAAGUUAGUUAUGAUGUGUGGUGUGUGUGUGUGGCGAAGUAAUUAUCCAGCUGUAGUAAUUAGUAACCCGUUGUUAUCUACAACUUCCCGUUUGGUAGAAGUCAUUUUAGUUACUUGCUAAAACUGUAUGAGGACUGACUGAGUUGUCUUUUAUCUAUUCAGCAAAUUUAUAGAUUGGAUUAGGCUCAUAUGCUUAAGCCAAGCUCAGGUUCAAGUGUGCUUCUCAUCUAAACAAGAGGUCCAUUGAUGUUGUCAAAAUUUAGGGCAAUUGUGUAUCCUUUACAUUCCAGUAUGGAGUUACUUAAAUUCAGUAUAAAAGAUACUUGGAGUGGGGAGGAACUUGAGCGAGUAUACGGUAAAAAUAAUUUAGGUCGUAAUAUUGUUGAAGAUUGUUGCACAAAGGUUUCUUCUAUUUCUCUGCUAGAUUUGUGAGUCUGCUCUCUUGCAGGUAAGAUUUUGUCUUUGAAAUGGAUGUUUCGAGGAUUAUGUUCUGCUACAUGUAUUGCCCUCAUAUUUUUCCUCUUAAGAGAAGGACAGUAAGAUAACAUUCAUCUGUGGUUUCAUGUACAAGAUGGAUUCUGUGUAUGGAUACUAUAGGAAUUUGCGGACUCGAGCUAUGUGUAGUCUUUAUUUGGAAAUUAUAUAUUUUUAUAUUUUCCUUUUCCAUUAUGAUUUUUUUCUAGCUGAAAGAUCGCUUAUGUUUUGGUUUGAUAUACAGGAUGCAUGGUGUUCUUUUGCUCAUCGGCUGAUAACUCUUCUGUGUACCCAAAAAACAUUUCGUUAGCAAUUGGCAAAUGUAGCUUUCUACAUUUUUAUCGCAUCUGCUAAAAGCUGGUCAAAUUUAAAUGAAUUUUGUGCUCUCAACUGCAUAUGACACUUGCUUUGUUUCAUACAAAUUAUUGUUUUUUGGCAAAAUGUUCUACACAGCCGUAAAUUAUAUUAGCAUGUUCAUGACCAUGCGAGCUCAUACAAAUUAUUGUUUUUGCCAAAAUGUUCUACACAGCCGUAAAGUAUAUUAGCAUGUUCAUGACUAUGUGAGCUAUAAUAAUACUUCUAUAACAGUAGAAACAUCUUAUUUACGUCUCAUAAGUAGGCUUGUUGCUGAAGCAAAGGAGGAUUUAACUGUUCAGUGUAUAAUCAUUGGUUAUACAUGCUAAGAUUCUAGAGAUUGAACUCUUUGCUGGUGCUAUCAGGGAGGGAGGCAUACAAAAAAUGCAGUGCUAGCAGGAUCCAAUGCACUCCCCUCCUCCAAUAAGUCCCGGUACCAAGCAUAUGGAGGAUGAGCACCGAGUGUUGCCCUCGGGUCAAGGGGAGGUUCGUCAGUUAGGCUUCGCUUCUGUAGAAUGCCGUGAAGAAAGAGCUUGGGGAAGAUAGUCUUGCACCCAUGGUCAUUUUUUUUGGAUUUCACUCUCUCUCUAACUGAAACUCA